CAUCAAUCUUGGAUUUCAGAGAAAAACACAAAUCUAUUUUCUGACCUAUAUACACAGUAUAAAAUUACAAUGUCUUAUGAGAUCUGUGCUGUAGGAAGAGGCCUCCCUCAUUCAUUAUAUUUACGUUUGAUUUGCAACAAGAUUUCUACACAAGGAUGAAAUCCAGCCUUUCUGCAAAUACAUUUUAUAUAAUGUUUCUUUCCAGUGUGAAUGUUGUGACUUAUAAUGACCUUUAUCUUCUAGAUAAGGGCAAGCCUUCCUUCAACACAUUUGUAAGUCUUCUCUCUACUCAGUAUCCUCAGAUGCAAACUCAGAGAUGAACUUGGACUAAAGACCUUUCCAUUACAAGUCCAUAGGAGAUAUGUUCCCAAGCAGAAAAUCCCUGCUGAUUAAGAAGCUCUGUCCUAGCUUUAUCCAUGAUUUCAAUCUUUUAGGAAUUUUCUGGAGGCAAUUCAGGAAUGAAGUGAGCCUGAAUGUUUUUCCACUGGAUUAUAUGAAUGAAGUUUUACAUCUAGCAUAGCAUCUCCCAUGUCUAGUAGGGAUAAUAUCUACUAAAAACUUUUACCAUGAUCCAAACACUCAAAAGUUUUCCUCUAAUGUGCACUCUCAGUUAAGCAAGAUUUGAACUUUGUCUGAAGGUUUCCACAUUCAUGAGGGUUCUGUCUAAUGUGGAUUUUCUCAUGCUUACCAAGACUGUUGUGCCAUAGGAAAGCAUUUCCACAGUCAUUACCUCCAUAAGGCUUCUCUCAGUGUGGAUUCUGAUGAGAAGUAAGAUUGUUGCGCUGUGUGAAAGCCUUUCUACAUUCAUUACAUUAAUAAAGCUUUUCUCAGUGUAGAUUCUCUGAUGGACAGCAAGACUGUUGCGCUGUGUAAAUGCCUUUCCACAUUCAUUACAUUCAUAAGACUUCUCUCUAGUGUGCAUUCUCUGAUGGAAAGUAAGAUUGCUGCGCCGUGUGAAAGCCUUGCCACAUUUGUUACAUUCAUAAGGCUUCUCUCAGUUGUGGAUUCUCUGAUGUUUUCCAAGACCUGAACUGCAUCUCAAAUUCUUUCCACACUGAUUAAGUCCAUAGGAUUUUUCUUCAGUGUGGAUUCUCUGAUGUCUAGCAAGACUGAAGCAAUUUCUGAAAUUCUUUCCACACUGAUUACAUUCAUAAGGUUUUCCCCAGUGUGGAUUCUAUGAUGUCUAGCAAGAUUGGAGCAAUUCGUGAAAGUCUUUCCACAUUUAUUACAUUCAUAAGGCUUCUCUCAGUGUGCAUUCUCUGAUGUUCAUGAAGACUCUUUCUCCAUGUGAAAGUCUUUCCACAUUCAUUACAUUUAUAAAGCUUCUCUCCAGUGUGGAUUCUCUGAUGGAAAGUAAGAUUGCUGCGCCGUGUAGAAAGCCUUUCCACAGUCAUCACAUUCAUAAGGCUUUUCUCCAGUGUGGAUUCUCUGAUG
rnacentral:lncRNA from 1 species